GACAGAGGUGCCAAGCGUUAGGCGGAAUCACUGGGCUUAAAGCGUGUGUAGGCGGAUUGGUAAGUACCUUGUGAAAUCCCACGGCUCAACCGUGGAACUGCUCGGUAUACUGCCUAUCUUGAGCCACUUAGGGGCUGUCGGAACAAACGGUGGAGCGGUGAAAUGCGUAGAGAUCAGGAAGAACACCGGUGGCGAAAGCGUUCUGCUAGACCUGUACUGACACUGAGGGACGAAAGCUAGGGGAGCGAAUGGG
rnacentral:rRNA from 1 species